AGUUCGUGAUUGAUCUAAAAAUUUUAAUUUUAUAUUUAAUAAUCAGAUUAUAAAUUAGAUCUAAUCUAAAAAAUAAUCUAAGCAUAUAUAAAUAAACAUGUAAUAAACAACUUAGGCUCUGAUACCAAUUGAAGGAACUAGAUUUAGGGUUUCAGUGUUAGAUCUUGAAACUUUUUUUAGAUCAUGCUGCGGAAGACUAAAAUAAAUUAAAAUUUAUUUUAUAAAAUUAAAAAAUUCCUAGGACUA
rnacentral:lncRNA from 1 species